rnacentral:rRNA from 1 species
AUACGGAGGGUGCAAGCGUUACUCGGAAUCACUGGGCGUAAAGCGCGCGCAGGCGGCUAUUUAAGUUGGAUGUGAAAGCCUACGGCUCAACCGUAGAACUGCAUCCAAAACUAUUUAGCUAGAGUGUGGGAGAGGAAGAUGGAAUUAGUUGUGUAGGGGUAAAAUCCGUAGAGAUAACUAGGAAUACCAAAAGCGAAGGCAAUCUUCUGGAACACUACUGACGCUGAGGCGCGAAAGCGUGGGGAGCAAACGGGGUUAGAAACCCUAGUAGUCC